UAUCAUUGAUGACGCGGAGGGACAUUACCGAGUUUACAACUCCCAAACCCAAUGUGAACGUUACCAAACUGUUGCCUCGGCGGGAUCUCUGCCCCGGGUGCGUCGCAGCCCCGGACCAAGGCGCCCGCCGGAGGACCAACCAAAACUCUUUUUGUAUACCCCCUCGCGGGUUUUUUUUAUAAUCUGAGCCUUCUCGGCGCCUCUCGUAGGCGUUUCGAAAAUGAAUCAAAACUUUCAACAACGGAUCUCUUGGUUCUGGCAUCGAUGAAGAACGCAGCGAAAUGCGAUAAGUAAUGUGAAUUGCAGAAUUCAGUGAAUCAUCGAAUCUUUGAACGCACAUUGCGCCCGCCAGUAUUCUGGCGGGCAUGCCUGUCCGAGCGUCAUUUCAACCCUCGAACCCCUCCGGGGGGUCGGCGUUGGGGAUCGGCCCUGCCUCUUGGCGGUGGCCGUCUCCGAAAUACAGUGGCGGUCUCGCCGCAGCCUCUCCUGCGCAGUAGUUUGCACACUCGCAUCGGGAGCGCGGCGCGUCCACAGCCGUUAAACACCCAACUUCUGAAAUGUUGACCUCGGAUCAGGUAGGAAUACCCGCUGAACUUAAGCAUAUCAAAA
rnacentral:rRNA from 1 species